CCUACGGGUGGCUGCAGUGAGGAAUAUUGGUCAAUGGACGAGAGUCUGAACCAGCCAAGUAGCGUGAAGGAUGACUGCCCUAUGGGUUGUAAACUUCUUUUAUAUGGGAAUAAAACGUUCCACGUGUGGGAUUUUGUAUGUACCAUAUGAAUAAGGAUCGGCUAACUCCGUGCCAGCAGCCGCGGUAAUACGGAGGAUCCGAGCGUUAUCCGGAUUUAUUGGGUUUAAAGGGAGCGUAGGUGGAUUGUUAAGUCAGUUGUGAAAGUUUGCGGCUCAACCGUAAAAUUGCAGUUGAAACUGGCAGUCUUGAGUACAGUAGAGGUGGGCAGAAUUCGUGGUGUAGCGGUGAAAUGCUUAGAGAUCACGAAGAACUCCGAUUGCGAAGGCAGUUCACUGGACUGCAACUGACACUGAGGCUCGAAAGUGUGGGUAUCAAACAGGAUUAGAUACCCGUGUAGUC
rnacentral:rRNA from 1 species